rnacentral:rRNA from 1 species
GACGAACGCUGGCGGCGUGCCUAAUACAUGCAAGUUGAGCGCUGAAGGGUGGUACUUGUUCCAACUGGAUGAGCAGCGAACGGGUGAGUAACGCGUGGGGAAUCUGCCUUUGAGCGGGGGACAACAUCUGGAAACGAAUGCUAAUACCGCAUAACAUCUUUAAACACAAGUUUUAAGUUUGUAAGAUGCAAUUGCAUCACCCAAUGAUUAUCCCGCGUUGUAUUAGGGAGUUGGUGAGGUAAAGGCCUACCAAGGCGAAGAUACAAUGACGACCUGAGAGGGUGAUGGGCCACAUUGGGGGGGAGACACGCCACAAACUCCAACGAGAGGGAGCAGUAGGGAUUUUUCGGCAAGGGGGGGAAGUCUGACCGGGCAAAGCCGCGUGAGUGUAAAGAGUUUUCGGAGCGUAAAAAACUGUUGUUAGAGGGGAGCAUUGGUGAGAAUGGAAAGCUCAUCAAUUGACGGGAACUUCACAGAAAGGCACGGCUAACUAAGGG